UACGUAGGGGGCAAGCGUUGUCCGGAAUUACUGGGCGUAAAGGGCGCGUAGGCGGCCAUCUAAGUCAGACGUGAAAUCCCCCGGCUUAACCUGGGAACUGCGUCUGAUACUGGAUGGCUUGAGUUUGGGAGAGGGAUGCGGAAUUCCAGGUGUAGCGGUGAAAUGCGUAGAUAUCUGGAGGAACACCGGUGGCGAAGGCGGCAUCCUGGACCAACACUGACGCUGAGUGAGCGAAAGCCAGGGGAGCAAACGGG
rnacentral:rRNA from 1 species